GACGAACGCUGGCGGCGUGCUUAACACAUGCAAGUCGAACGGAAAGGCCCUGCUUUUGUGGGGUGCUCGAGUGGCGAACGGGUGAGUAACACGUGAGUAACCUGCCCUUGUCUUUGGGAUAACUUCAGGAAACUGGGGCUAAUACCGGAUAGGAGCUCCUGCUGCAUGGUGGGGGUUGGAACGUUUCGGCGGUUGGGGAUGGACUCGCGGCUUAUCAGCUUGUUGGUGGGGUAGUUGCUUACCAAGGUUUUGACGGGUAGCCGGCCUGAGAGGGUGGCCGGCCACAUUGGGACUGAGAUACGGCCCAGAGUCCUACGGGAGGCAGCAGGGGGGAAUAUUACACAAUGGGCGGAAGCCUGAGGCAGCGACGCCGCGUGCGGGAUGACGUCCUUCGGGUUGUAAACCGCUUUCGCCUGUGACGAAGCGUGAGUGACGGUAAUGGGUAAAGAAGCACCGGCUAACUACGUG
rnacentral:rRNA from 1 species